rnacentral:rRNA from 1 species
UACAGAGGGGGCAAGCGUUGUUCGGAAUUACUGGGCGUAAAGGGCGCGUAGGCGGCCUGCUAAGUCGAACGUGAAAUCCCUGGGCUCAACCCAGGAACUGCGUCCGAUACUGGUUGGCUUGAAUCCGGGAGAGGGACGUGGAAUUCCAGGUGUAGCGGUGAAAUGCGUAGAUAUCUGGAGGAACACCGGUGGCGAAGGCGGCUCUCUAGUACGGUACUGACGCUGAGACGCGAAAGCGUGGGGAGCGAACAGG